CUCCAGACUCCUACGGGAGGCAGCAGUGGGGAAUAUUGCACAAUGGGGGAAACCCUGAUGCAGCAACGCCGCGUGAGUGAAGAAGUAUUUCGAUAUGUAAAGCUCUAUCAGCAGGGAAGAAGAUGACGGUACCUGAUUAAGAAGCCCCGGCUAACUACGUGCCAGCAGCCGCGGUAAUACGUAGGGGGCAAGCGUUAUCCGGAUUUACUGGGUGUAAAGGGGGCGCAGACGGCGAUGCAAGCCAGGAGUGAAAGCCCGGGGCCCAACCCCGGGACUGCUCUUGGAACUGCGUGGCUGGAGUGCAGGAGGGGCAGGCGGAAUUCCUGGUGUAGCGGUGAAAUGCGUAGAUAUCAGGAGGAACACCGGUGGCGAAGGCGGCCUGCUGGACUGAAACUGACGUUGAGGCCCGAAAGCGUGGGAGCAAACAGGAUUAGAUACCCCUGUAC
rnacentral:rRNA from 1 species